rnacentral:lncRNA from 1 species
UGUAAAAGUACUGCAUAACAACUGCUAAGAACAAUAGUUAGUGUAAAGCCUACAAGAAGUCCAACAAGAACUACUGUUAGCAGCAUAUCAUAUAUUUUCUGAAAUUGCAAAAAUCCACAAGGUAAAUGGCACAACCAAAAAAUACACAUGUUGACCAAAAUUGGUAACACUGGAGAAUGACAGCUAUUUCUAUGUUAAGAGUAUGGUGAACGGAGAACAACAGCUUACUAAAAUUUCCUAAAACAGAAUCAUAGCAUUCUAGGAAGAACAAGAGGGGGAAAGGGAGCAUGCUCUUAAGAAUGCUACUUGCAUACAGAUUGACCGUCUUCCCUCAAUAAGGUUAAACUCAGGUGAAGUUGGUGCAUGGAACUCAACAAAUGCAGUCCAAAUGGCAAUUCUUCAACUUAGACAGAGUCCACUGGUCUUGUUUCUGGCUUUUCUUCGUCUAUUAUAACCUUGGACUUCAGUGAGAGAGAACUCUGCC